CAUCCUCUGCGGCGGGGCUGGUUGUGUGAGCUCCCGGCCCCUGGAUGGGAAGGGAAGUGAGCUGGACUUCUGGGAGGUGUCCCCGCAGAAACAGGCCCUUUGUGCUUCUCUCCCCAUCCUGCUGGGAACACAAGCCCCAUUGUCGCCUGCGUGGACCAGGGCGACAGCUGCGGGAAGGGGAGUGUCCUGGAGCAGCCCUGCCAGGCCUGCCCUGGACUGUGUGCCUCUGGACCAAGCAGGAGAGAGACGCAAACUCACGCGAGGGACCUUUGUGACAGCAGCUGAACCCUAUGGGUGAACAGCUGAGUUUGGCUCCAGCCCUCCCCUCACCAGGCGCUUCUCUGGAGAUGCAGGGGAAUCCAGGCUCCUGGCAUAGAGAGUCAGGGGAGCAUCUGCCAGGGACCGCCUCUUCUUCCUUCUUCCCACCCUCCUGCAUCCCGCCCUCUCCCAGAGAGGCGGCUCGUUUUGAAAUACUCUCUGCUGACUCUCGCCAGGCUAAUAGCCGCGGAUUCUAAGUCAGUAACUCUGGCCACAGGCCUUCUUGCGCACGGAGUCACUUGAUUAUUGCUAGAAAGGGUUCCCCAGAGGAAGGGGCGUGCCACACCGUGCAGGGCCAAGCGAAGAAGCCCCAGGAGGAGGGACAACGGUGACAGAUGGCUUUAUGGUGGUUUCUGCAGGAGGGAACCAGCUAGGCAGCACGGCACCUCAGGAUCGGCUGGUGUGGCUACUUCUAGGACCCGGGGGCCCAGGAGCUGGCCCCUGGUCCUGGCCCUGGCGUGAAGCCAGCAGGCAGACGGUGGAGGAGGAGGGCCUGUUCACAGAAAGGAGGUGGGAGGGGGCAGGCUCUGGGUUGGUUGGUUUCUCUGUGUCCCAGGGCCCCGAGAAGGAGGAUUCUUCCUGGGGGCUGGAGGAGGUGGUGACAAGUUCGAGAGGCCAAGGGAAAGCGCCUCAGGACCAGUCAGACGGUCAGAUGUAAGCUGGCCUCCUCUCAGGUGUCCCCUCCUAAGGGGAACCGUCCCCGCCUGCCUAACCUCCAGGGACAGUGUCUCCCACCCCUCGGUUCCCUCAGCAUGACCCAUGUCAUCCCUUUGGGACGGUCAGGGCCCCACGGCUCCUCCCUCUGGAGGAAGCGUCCUCCCAGCCGGCACCAGGGCCUGUGCCAUCUCUUCUCCCUCGACUGCUCCCCCGCCCCCAGCCCCGGCUGGCCCCCGGGGGCCCCAGCCCCACGCUGGCUCUUGGUGCUUCCCGAGGCCUGUGCUUUCCCCUGCCACACAUUCCUCUUUCUGGCACGCUCUGCCCACGGCCUCCCCUCCACACGCCUUUGCCCCUGGAGCAGCGGGCAGAGGGGUCUGUGGUUGGCUUGGUGGGUUUGGGUGGUUCUUUUGUGUUUUGUUUUGUCUCCUUCAUCGCUGUGUCUACAGCCUAGGUCAGUGCCAGGCAGAUAGUAGGGGCUCAAGAAACGGGGAAUAAACAGCCCUUAGACCCACCCAGGACAUUCUUGUUGUGGUCUGCAAC